rnacentral:rRNA from 1 species
UACAGAGGUCUCAAGCGUUGUUCGGAUUCAUUGGGCGUAAAGGGUGCGUAGGCGGCGCGGUAAGUCGGGUGUGAAAUCUUGGAGCUUAACUCCGAAACUGCAUUCGAUACUGCCGUGCUUGAGGACUGGAGAGGAGACUGGAAUUUACGGUGUAGCGGUGAAAUGCGUAGAUAUCAGGAGGAACACCAAUUGCGAAGGCAGCUCGCUGGGACGUUACUGACGCUGAGACGCGAAAGCGUGGGGAGCAAACAGG